AAUAUGGACAGAGGAGGCAACUCUGAUGCAGUCAUGCAGUGUGUAGGAAGGUUACCUUAUGUGUUGUAAAAGAAUGAUAUAGAAGAAGAAUCCCCGAUUGUAUAUCGGUCUGCCGGUAAUAUACGAAUAAUGAUUGGCUACAUCCGUGCCAGCAGCCGCGGAAAUACGGGGGAUUCUUUGUUAUCCGGAAUCAUAAGUGCAAACGGUUCGUUGGCGAAUUUAUAAGUCAAAUGUGAAAGUUUUCGGUCAACCGGAAAAUGCCAUUGAUUGGCAAGACUGUAGAGAGUGAAGAAUUAGAAUGUGUAGUGUAGCGGUGAAGUGCAUAUAGAUUAAACAGAAUGCGGAGGGCGAAGGCAGAUCCAUAACAAUAUAUUCCGCUAAAGGACGAAGGGGUGGGAAGAGAACUGAUCCCCUAC
rnacentral:rRNA from 1 species